AAUAAUAAAUUAUUUAUUUUAUUUUUAAUUUUUAUUUAAUAAAAUUAAUUUUAUAUAUUUAUAUUUGAGUAUAUUUUAUAGAAAAAAUAUUUUUAAUUAUAGUUUAUUAGUAUUGUGAAAGAAAUUUUAAUUAUAAAUUUUAUUUAUAAGUAAAAUUUAUUUUUUGUACCUUGUGUAUCAGGGUUUAUUAAUUGAUUAGUAUAAAAUUUACUAUUCCCGAAUUUAAGAGAGAUAAUAAAUAGUUUUAUUUAUUGUUAAAAAAAUAUUUAUAAUUAUUUAUUAGUAAUGAAAAGUUAUUCGUUCUUUAAUAUAUCUGGUUUAUUUAGAAAUGAAUUUAAUUCAGUUAAAUUAAUUUAAUUAAUUUAAUUUUUUAAUUUAAUUAAUUUUUUUAAUAAUAAUUAAAGGGAUAAGCUUUUAAUUAAAUUUCUAUAAUUUUUUAAAUAAAUAAUAAAUUUAUAGGUUUAGAAAUAUCCAUUAUUUAUAAAAUGUUAUAAUUAAUUUAUUAAUUUAUAAUAUUAUUUUAAAAUUAUUUAGAUUUUUAUAAAUAAAUAAUAUUUAAUAAUAAAAUUUUAGUUAUUAUGAUAAAAUUAGUAUAUUAUUAAUUAUUUAAAUAUUAAUUAAAUUAAAAUUAUUUAAAUUAACUCGGCAAAAUUUUUAUUCGCCUGUUUAACAAAAACAUGUCCUUUAGAUAUAGAAUUUAAGGUCUAACCUGCCCAUUGAUUAAUUUUUAACGGCCGCAGUAAUUUGACUGUGCAAAGGUAGCAUAAUCAUUAGUUUUUUAAUUGAAAGCUUGUAUGAAUGGUUGGACGAGAUAAAAACUGUCUCUGAAUAAUAAAUAGAAUUUAAUUUUUAAGUUAAAAAGCUUAAAUUAAUGUAAAAGACGAGAAGACCCUAUAGAUCUUUAUAUAAAUUUUUAUAAUUUAAUUAAUGAUUAUUUUAUUGUUUAUAAUUUUUUAUAUUUUAUUGGGGUAAUAAAAAGAUUAAAUUAAUUCUUUUUUAUAGAACAUUAAUUUAUGAAUUUAUGAUCCAAAUUUUUUGAUUAUAAGAUUAAGUUACCUUAGGGAUAACAGCGUAAUUUUUUUAAAGAGUUCUUAUCGAUAAAAAAGUUUGCGACCUCGAUGUUGGAUUAAAAAUUAUUUUAGGCGUAGAAGUUUAAAUUUUUGGUCUGUUCGACCAUUAAAUUUUUACAUGAUCUGAGUUCAGACCGGUGUAAGCCAGGUCGGUUUCUAUCUUUAUAACAAGAUAAUAUUUUAGUACGAAAGGACCAAAUAUUUAAUAUAUAAAUAUUUAUAUUAUUGAUUAUAAUUAUUACUUUGGCAG
rnacentral:rRNA from 1 species